rnacentral:lncRNA from 1 species
AGUUGACCACAGAGCUCUCUCUGUUCACAGUGAGAAACAUGCUUUGCCUUGGAGGGAGUCCAUCAGCUAAUAUUAACACAGAGAAGGCGAAAGUGCAGGUUGACAGGAAAGCCUGGCUCUCCCCUGACUCAAUUCAGGAGAUCAUUAAGGACGAAGUCUUGCUGUAAAGUACACCUCUCUUCCUCCGAUGACAGUGACAACCAGGGCGCUGAAUCAGGGGCAGCCUGCUCUCCUUUGACAAACACCCACCCACUUUGGGUCACUCACUGAGUGCCUACUCCAAUCCAUUCAACAAAGUAGAACUCAAAGGUGUGCUAGCAGGCAUUCCAGUGGGAAUGUCCAAAUGUGGACACGGCGCUUCCCCCAUGUAAGUGGAAGAGAGAGUGAGAUGCUUACCCUAUUGAAGAGACAACAGCCAUUAUUAGGGUUGAUGAUCUAUGACUAAGAAGUGACUUGAGAACAUGCUGAGCUUCAAGGUUCAGUAUGGGAUGGAAGCUACGUGCUCACAGGAACACCUAAAAAUCUGAAGAGAACCAUGGAUCUGAAAAGACCUCCAUUGGACGGACGGUGUCCCAUGACUCUCUCAGUGCCUGGGAAUCUUAAUGUCCCUGUGCAUUUCCAAUGGUGGAGGAAAACCUCAAUUUAAAAUACACUGUGACUGAUCUUGCAAAGCUGGUGUUCAAAUGAAGUUCACCUCUCUAGGGGAAAGUGGUGCGGAAAACAGAAUUCGAUGUGGAAUGUGAAACCCACUGUAAGAAUUCUUGUGUGCAUAUAUGCACAUGUCAUAUGUGGUUUACAUGUGUGUAACUAUUCAUGGGGAUGACACUGUGUGUAUGAGCAUGAUUAAACAUGCAUUUGUGUGGGAGCAGAGGUAAGAAGCCAACCAUGAGGCUCAUCCUCAAUUGUCCUUGGAACAGUCUCAAAAUAUAGCCCUUGAUGACUGUGAGGUCACCUAGAUCCACCUGCCUUUAUUCACCAAUGCUGGGAUUAAAGGCAUGCUCCACCAUACCUGGCUCCAUUUUCUCUUCUGAGAAGGAGUUUGCUUGUUUUUUUAACUGAACCUGGACCUCAGUGAUGGAUCAAGAUUGGCUGGCCAGAGUCCAAAUGAUCCACCUGUCUUCCUUCCCCAGUCCUAGGAUUGCAGGGACUUGCUAUCCCACCUAGCUGGGAAUCGAACAUGGGCCCUAAUGCUUGUGUGGCAAACACUCCACCAGCUGAGCCAUCUCCAGCCUCCAUUGCAAGAAUUCUCCAUGAUGACAUGUAACAUCUGUACUGCUGAUAAAUUCAUUGACAGCUAGAGCUACUCAGAAGAGACUCUUAGACAUUCCAGAAUAUAAAUAUCAAUGGCCAGAGUAAAUGGAACUUCUCCUCCCCAGCAUGUGCCAUAACAAAUGCCUGUUUAGAGACAUGGGAAGCGCACACACAUUUCCCAGCCUUCAAAAGCUUCCCAGAUUGGUGUUUCUUGUUGCUCUGUCCUAGAGGCAUGCCAUCACAGGGUGCUGAUGGCUGCCUUAAUCCGAGUUGAGCCCAUCCACUUUCUCUUACAAAACAGAAAUAAACAAGCAGAAACAUUUGUUCCUAUGAUAAGUCUACGCAUUCUUGACAAACAUUCUCAAAUGAUUCUUCAAGUUUUGAUUUCCUUCUCUGAAGAACAAAUAAUCUCGUGUUCUUUUAUCUUUCCUCCAAGGUCCCAUUUUCCUGUGCUUUAAUCAUUUUUAUUGUUUCCAUCUGUGCCUGCUCUAAUUUUUUCCUAUCCCUUUUAAAAUGUGUGUCUGCAAAUUAGACACAGUGCUUCCCAAAUCGGAAUAGGUCUGAAACACCUAUCAAGCUGUUAUGGAAUUCCUAUCACCAUUUGAAGAAGGCGACGUAUGGAAUGUGAUGAUAAGGGACAAGAGCAGUGACAGAGGAUUUCAGGUCCGGAAAACAGUUCUAAGUGAAGGCGUUUGCCCCAGAGAGGAAGAGCAAGACAUAACUAAAAUAUUACUGCAGAAAUUACACUUUC